rnacentral:tRNA from 1 species
GCAGGGAUGGCGAAACUGGUAAACGCGCCUGACUUAGAAUCAGGUUUUUUGAGAGUUCGAAUCUCUCUCCCUGUACAA